UAUGAUUAAUUCUAUUAGAAGAGACAUCAUUUGGGUUAGUUGAUGUAUUUCCAGUUGAAGACUGCAAACAUGCUUUGCAUGAGUCUCUAGCAGAGAUCAAUUUACAUUUGACAGAGGCACAGAAUACUGGAGGAGUUUGUUUUCCUUUGGGAAAGGGCAUGUACCGUGUGCUUUAUAUUCCUGAAGAUGAAGCUGUUCUCUUGAAUUCUAGGGAGAAUGCGCCUUACAUGAUCUGUGUUGAAGUAUUGAGAUGUGACAUGAUAAUGUAUUACUUCAAUAGUAAUCCCCAUGAGUUUUAAAGAAUAUAGCAGUUCAUAAAAUGAGAAACAUAUUUCUGAUAUAUUCCCUUCACUACAAAACAUUUAUCAUAGCAAUUCCAAGGACACGUCCAGUCCUCAUAAACUUUCCAAAGGUGGAAUUCCCUUGGCAAAUGGAGAUGCUCUCUUGCCAAAACCACCACCAUGGGCUUAUCCAUUGUGGACAACACAAGAGGUUUAUCGUAAUAGCAAUGAUAGGA